GGCCAAAAAAGAGGUGGGCAAUUCCUCAUUUGAGCUCUCAUGGUGUCUCCCAAGAAAUCAAAGAAAAGCAAGAAAGAUAUGAAAUUGAAGAAAAACUUAAGCUUGGUUCCAGUCGUGCCUAAAGCCGUAGACUCUGGCUGGUGGGAUAGUUUCUUCAAUCCAAGGUUGCAAUAUCUGUGAUCAGGGUACUUUUGUUUGUGGCAAGGCCAAGGACUUUUGUUCAAGGAAACCUUCCGAAUUCCAUGGUUUACAGAAAUGUUGAGCAGUAUCCCAAUGCAAGCAAUGUUCCUGGAAUUCUCAUACUUGAGAUUGAUGCUCCCAUUUACUUUGCAAAUACCAACUACUUAUACCAACUACUUAAGAGAAAGGCACAUAGGUUGGAGAGGACUUGAUGAAGGGUCCUAACUACUUUGAGAUUGAUAUGGACAUUCAUUGCUUCAGCCACAUAUCAAGGAAGGGUCUCGAAUUGUCUUUAAAAACGGAAUAGCCGACGCGGCUA